rnacentral:tRNA from 1 species
UCCCUGGUGGUCCAGUGGUUAAAACUCUGCACUUCCAAUGCAAGGGGUGCAAGUUCGAUCCUUGGUCAGAGAA